GACGAACGCUGGCGGCGUGCUUAACACAUGCAAGUCGAACGGAAAGGCCCUGCUUUUGUGGGGUGCUCGAGUGGCGAACGGGUGAGUAACACGUGAGUAACCUGCCCUUGACUUUGUGAUAACUUCAGGAAACUGGGGCUAAUACCGGAUAGAAGCUCCUGCUGCAUGGUGGGGGUUGGAAAGUUUCGGCGGUUGGGGAUGGAAUCGCGGCUUAUCAGCUUGUUGGUGGGGUAGUGGCUUACCAAGGCUUUGACGGGUAGCCGGCCUGGGAGGGUGACCGGGCACAUUGGGACUGAGAUACGGCCCAGACUCCUACGUGAGGCAGCAGUGGGGAAUAUGGCGCAAUGGGCGGAAGCCUGAUGCAGCAACGCCGCGUGCGGGAUGACGGCCUUCGGGUUGUAAACCGCUGUCGCCUGUGACGAAGCGUGAGUGACGGUAAUGGGUAAAGAAGCACCGGCUAACUACGUG
rnacentral:rRNA from 1 species